rnacentral:rRNA from 1 species
AACGAACGCUGGCGGCAGGCCUAACACAUGCAAGUCGAGCGGAUGUAGCAAUACAUCAGCGGCGCACGGGUGAGUAACGCGUGGGAACCUGCCCUUUGGUACGGAACAACCCUGGGAACUAGGGCGUAAUACCGAAUACGCCUCGCGAGAGGGAAAGGAUUUAUCGCCGAAGGAGGGCCGCGUCCGAUUAGCUAGUCGGUGGGUAA